UACAGAGGUCUCAAGCGUUGUUCGGAUUCAUUGGGCGUAAAGGGUGCGUAGGCGGCGCGGUAAGUCGGGUGUGAAAUCUCGGGGCUUAACUCCGAAACUGCAUUCGAUACUGCCGUGCUUGAGGACUGGAGAGGAGACUGGAAUUUACGGUGUAGCGGUGAAAUGCGUAGAUAUCGUAAGGAAGAUCAGUGGCGAAGGCGGGGUCUCUGGACAGUUCCUGACGCUGAGGCACGAAGGCCAGGGGAGCAAACGGG
rnacentral:rRNA from 1 species